rnacentral:rRNA from 1 species
UCCGUUGAAAAGGGCUGGGAUGACGUGUGGAUAGCGGUGAAAUUCCAAUCGAACUCGGAGAUAGCUGGUUCUCCUCGAAAUAGCUUUAGGGCUAGCCUCACUUGAAGAUAUAUGGGGGUAGAGCACUGAAUGGGCUAGGGGGUCUCAAAGCUUACCGAACCUUAUCAAACUACGAAUACCAUAUAUUACCUAAGUGGGAGUCAGACGGCGUGAGAUAAGUUUCGUCGUCAAAAGGGAAAGAGCCCAGAUCAUCAGCUAAGGCCCCAAAGUGCAGGUUAAGUGGAAAAGGAUGUGGGACUGCAUAGACAACUAGGAUGUUGGCUUAGAAGCAGCCACUCAUUUAAAGAGUGCGUAAUAGCUCACUAGUCGAGUGGUCCUGCGCCGAAAAUGUCCGGGGCUAAAACCUGCCGCCGAAGCUAUGGGUGCACGUAAGUGCGCGGUAGAGGAGCAUCGUGUAUUGGCAGAAGCGAUACCGAGAGGAGUCGUGGACGAUACAGGAGAGAGAAUGCUGGCAUGAGUAGCGAGAGGGAGGUGAGAAUCCUCCCCAUCGAAAGCCUAAGGUUUCCUGGGGAAGGCUCGUCCACCCAGGGUAAGUCGGGACCUAAGCCGAGGACUAGAUGGUCGUAGGCGAUGGACAACAGGUUGAUAUUCCUGUACUACCUUUAGCGUUAAAACGAGGCAGUGACACAGGAGGAUAGGCAGAGCGGGUUGAUGGUAGAACCCGUCCAAGCAUUUAGGGAGACAGAGUAGUGAAGUACGCUUUGUUGAUAAUUCUGAGAUGUGAUGGGGACAGAAAAUAAGUAUGGAAGCUGCUGAAUCCACACUGGCGAGAAAAGCUGCUAGGAGCGAAGAGGUACCCGUACCGCAAACCGACACAGGUAGGCGAGGAGAGAAUCCUAAGAUGAGCGAGAUAACCAUUGUUAAGGAACUCGGCAAAAUGACCCCGUAACUUAGGGAGAAGGGGUGCCUAGAAAUAGGUCGCAGAGAAUAGGUCCAAGCGACUGUUUAGCAAAAACACAGGUCUGUGCGAAAUCGAGAGAUGAAGUAUACGGGCUGACGCCUGCCCAGUGCCGGAAGGUUAAGGGGAAAUGUUAGUCGAAAGGCGAAGCAUGGAACUUAAGCCCCGGUGAACGGCGGCCGUAACUAUAACGGUCCUAAGGUAGCGAAAUUCCUUGUCAGGUAAGUUCUGACCCGCACGAAUGGCGUAACGAUUUGGACGCUGUCUCAACAAUGGACUCGGCGAAAUUGUAGUACCGGUGAAGAUGCCGGUUACCCGCGAUAGGACGGAAAGACCCCGUAGAGCUUUACUGUAGCUUGGCAUUGGAUUUCGGCAUUGGAUGUACAGGAUAGGUGGGAGACAUGGAAGCGAGUACGCCAGUAUUCGUGGAGUCGCCCUUGGGAUACCACUCUUCUGAUGUUGAGGUUCUAACAACAGGCCGUGAUCCGGCUGUUGGACAGUACCAGGUGGGCAGUUUGACUGGGGCGGUCGCCUCCCAAAGAGUAACGGAGGCGCCCAAAGGUCUCUUCAGCAUGGUCGGAAAUCAUGCAUUAGAGUGCAAAGGCAUAAAGAGGCUUGACUGCGAGAGAGACAUUUCGAGCAGGUACGAAAGUAGGGCUUAGUGAUCCGGCGGUAUGAGAGUGGAAUUGCCGUCGCUCAACGGAUAAAAGCUACCCUGGGGAUAACAGGCUGAUCUCCCCCAAGAGUCCACAUCGACGGGGAGGUUUGGCACCUCGAUGUCGGCUCAUCGCAUCCUGGGGCUGUAUUCGGUCCCAAGGGUUUGGCUGUUCGCCAAUUAAAGCGGCACGCGAGCUGGGUUCAGAACGUCGUGAGACAGUUCGGUCCCUAUCCAUCGUGGGCGUAAGAAGUUUGAGAGGAGCUGUUCUUAGUACGAGAGGACCGGGAUGGACGCACCGCUGGUGUACCAGUUGUUCUGCCAAGGGCAUAGCUGGGUAGCUAAGUGCGGACGGGAUAAACGCUGAAGGCAUCUAAGCGUGAAGCCCCCCUCAAGAUGAGACUUCUCAUCCUUUAAGGAGUAAGACCCCUUGU